rnacentral:lncRNA from 1 species
UUUUAUAGUUUUUUUUUUUACCGUUGGGUGGGGGGGCAACGGUCAAAUUUUUGACCUUUGGGGUACUGUUCACGCGCGGGGGACAUCGCGUCCACGUCAGCGCGACCUGUUGAUGUGGACGCGAUGUCCUGACACGUACCCUGACAUCGAGCUGACGUGGACGCGAUUUCCCGAAAAAUGGACCAUUCCGGUAAAUAAUCAAAAAAUCGGCCCAUUUCGGUAAAUUUAGGAAAAAAAUGCUUUUU